GUUUUCCUCGCUGUCAGGCCUGGAUUGAGCCUCGGGACCAGGGAGCCAAUCGCCAACCUGAUUUGUCUGCUGAUUGGCCUGGGGUCUUAGUAAGAUCCAUGCCUAUUAUGACACCUGAUUGGUCCAACGCACGUAGCCUCCUGCAUCAACAACAUCAUCGCCUGGAAAUUUUCCAGUCUGUGCACAAAGCAGAGUUGUGUACAGGGCAAGAUGGUCAGAUGGAUAAUGAACAGCGAAAGAGAAAGGGUGGAGCUGAGAGGGAAAAGGCAAAGAGGAAAAAGGCCCUUGACAGUGAGGCGGGGAAAUCUCAAAAAAUCAGCGAUAUGUUUGCAAAAAAGGCAUCAGGUAAACAAGCAUAUCAUUGACUAGUAAGUGGAAGGAAGAGACUGACAUUCCCCGGGGACUGGACUGAAGUAGAGAGAGAGAAGAGAGAGGGCAGGCAUCAUUAUGAUGUACAAUGUAAAUUUGCUGCUAUAAAGUGUAUUCAUCAAUGCUACUCAACAGGUUAUACAUCAAAGAAACACUAUAUCUCCAUCAUGUAUGUAAACGGCAAUGGAAAAAAGCUAUAUGUUGUAAGCUUUAGGAUUUACAGGGCUACUGUACUAUAUUGUAUUAGAUUGUACAUACUGUAUGAACCUAAGAAACUGCUAACUUCCUUUAGUGCUGUGAUGA